CUGCGAAUUUUAAUCCCUACAUUUUUAAAUAUAUAUUUGUACUUUCUACUCUUUAACAUUUUCAACACAGUUACUUUUGCUUUAACGCAUUUGGGUGAAGUUAUUAUUUCCCCACUGUGAGCCUCUGAAAAGAAAAAGGGUUUUGAUCCUAAACAGUAACACAUGAAUGGCAGUCCUGUUUGUGUAUUGAUCACCAGAGGUUGUAAAAGUGAUGACGUGUGACGAGUGUUGGCUGUUCAGUUUUUGUUUUUGCCACAACACCAGGAGACUGUAGGUGUCUGUAAGUUGCGGUUUCAGUACUUUAACAUCUGGCUAUACUGAAGAGGAGCAAGCAUAAAGGGAGUGACUUUUUUGAAGUGUCAGGUAAUUUCGAAUUCAACGUUUCUAUCUGUUCAACAAACAUCAGCAAACACACAAACUAUUUGUAUGCAGUGUUUGGCACAGUGUGUUACUAGCUAAAGGUUCAGCUGCCCUGAGUGAAGGAAGAGAGCUAACUUCACUCAGAGAUGGAGAAAGAUAAGAAAGACAGGACAGGAGAGGAAGGAAAGAGGUCAGAUUUAAAGGUAAGGCCUGCUCAGUGGGAUUUGACAAACUGCAAACUGAAGGCUUAUACGUAUAUCCUUGUGUUUUUAAGCCAGACAUUGGCUCUGUACAUGUUUUUUUUUCAUAUUGUGAAACCUGCUGCAAAUUUAGAGAGACUGUUAUUUAAAGGUUGCAAGAAAAUCCUCUGUAGUUUAGUGCAGGAUACACAGGUUAGUUUGCUGUACUGUGAUGGAUUUAAAGUAAAGAACAGUGUGUGAGUGGCGCAGUGGCUGUGGUUUCAUGGUCAGAGUUAGGUAACAUUAAGUGUAGCAGAGAUUCAUAAGAAUUUGUAGCAGAUGAUGCUGAGAUUCCACCUUCAUGCCAACUUCAUACCAUCUAGAAAAAAGACAGCAUAAAGAGUGUACUGUCAGUGUAAAGCAUGGAAAUCAGCCAGGACAACUCAUGAAACAUCUGCUCGAAUUCAGUUGUGUACAUCCACCAAGAGCAGCAGGUCAGCUGAUCACUACCUGGAAACUACGAAAAUCUACUGGAGCUCUCAAAAUAGAAAUUGUGAGUUAUGAUUCAUUUCCCCACUGAGUUAUUACAACCAUUUACAUUCUCUACAUAGUCAUGCUGCAAGUGAGACAAUGCAGCACGUAAUAGCAAUAGAUAAAUGUUUGAAAAGAAAAAGUUGUCAUGGUAGGGCCUUCAUCUGGGUCGGAAUUUUCUCCAGGACCCAGAUCAGAGUAGCGAUCAGAAAAAAGAAAAAGGUGUAUACUGGGGACAAACCGAACCGACUGUGAUAUGUGUGGUGCGCAGGGAAACAUUAUCAAUAUGCUUUUUGUGACUUUUUUUUUGCUGGCGCAUAGUGUGAUUUUUCUAAUGUGAAAUAUGUGCUGAGGCUCCAAAAGGUUAGGAAGCACUGCUCUGCAAUGUAGGGAAGAGACAAUAGAUAUAUAUUUUUCUACAGAAUCUAGCUGGGUAUAAUUAGAAUUUUUGGUUUGUAUCCAUAUUUACUGAUAUUAUUUUAUCAUUAUGUUAAUAAAGCACAAGGUUCAAUUAGCUUUGCACAGAAAUAGAAACAUCCUCCAAGAAGCUACUUUUUGCUUUCUUUAAGUAUAUUUCAGAACUUGUACAUUUUUACUUUUACUUGAGUAAAGAAGUUGAAUCAGUACUUCAACUUAUACUUUUUUUCUGCCAACUCUUAUGUGGCCCAGCUUUUGAUGCUGGGAACUGCAAGACUUUAUUAGCAAAUAUAAGAGUAUAAAAAUUUAAGGUGCCACUGUAUACUGCUGCAAGAAACAGUCCUGGGAGGCCAGGGUAGCCUUUCAGGAUAUCCAUGACCAAAGAAUCAUAGGGAUAAACUUAAUGCUUGUAAAACCACAGGCAGAUCCACUAGUACUUUAAGUGGUAUUAAGUUAUGACACAGAACCCCAAAUACCUGAUCAAGAGAAGAAACUUGUCCAGCUGUCCAUGGAUCUUUAUAGAAAGAGUAGAGGCACAAUCCUGAAAAAACUGCAGAUCCCAGGAACAAGGAAUAACUUACCACGCUGAUGAACACAGCUCUGAAUAAAACCAGGUGAAACCGUUGAAAGGAUAAAUUUCUGUUCUGGCCAGGCUGGCAUUCAUCUUCGAAAAGAUGAGUUAACUUAACAGAUCAACUCCCCUCUAGUUUAAGAAGAAUCUAAACUUGCUUAUGGAUGCACUGUAUCCACUGUAUCCCAGUUCCCUAGUUACAAGACUGAGGGUCCUUAAAUCAUACUCGACUUUGACUAUUCUAGGGUCCUGCUUGCUUACUGCACUUAAUAAAUUGGAUAUCAGAAAAUUGACUAGCACACUUUUAUACUUCCAUAUGCAAGCCUGGAAAUUUGGGUCUAGAGUCACACAUUUUAAGUAAUAAAAUAGUGUAGAAUUAUAGGAAUUAUUUUAGGGUUACUGUUCAUAACCAUCAUCUUUAUCAUUGCAUUAAUUAUCAUUUCAUCCAAGCAUUUAUUGAAGUGCUGGCAUUAGGUUAUAAUUUGUAUUACAGGGGUUAUCAUAAUCAAAUAUUAACAGGUUUAUUACAGGUUCAGUUAUAAUCAGUUGAAUCUAUAAUUUAAAGGUUUCUGAAUGUUUUAUAUUCUUACACAUAGUCUUCAGUGGGGGAGAAGCUGAUUGCAGGCUGACAGGAAACGGUGUGCUUUUGCAAAAGUGAAACCAAAACCAGAGUUUGAUGAUGCUAUUAUUAUCUUUUAUGCAUUUAUACGUCUGAUUAAGCUUUGAUUAAGUUUUAAGUAGUUGUAGUAGAUUGAAAUAUUUGUUUUAUACAUUUUACAUAGAAGUUAAGAUCAUCACAACACCGGAUGGCCUUAGCCUGGUUGCCUAAGUGAGGUCAACUAAGGUUCAGAAAGCAGAUGCACACUCUGUGUGCGCAGAGAGACAUACACACACACACUGUUAGGGUGUAGGUGAAAGUUGACUGAUGAAGCAGUAGAUGCACGAUGCGAGAGCUGAGCUGGCUUACGGAAA
ensembl:lncRNA